rnacentral:rRNA from 1 species
UGGCGAACGGGUGAGUAACACGUGGGUAAUCUGCCCUGCACUCUGGGAUAAGCCUGGGAAACUGGGUCUAAUACUGGAUAUGACCUUUCUCCUUAUGGGGUUUGGUGGAAAGUUUUUCGGUGUAGGAUGAGCCCGCGGCCUAUCAGCUUGUUGGUGGGGUGAUGGCCUACCAAGGCGACGACGGGUAGCCGGCCUGAGAGGGUGAUCGGCCACAUUGAGACUGAGAUACGGCCCAG